CACUUAGGAUAAAUAACCUGAGCAGUACAGACAGCGGUAAAUAUAACUUUUCAACCUUUAAUUCAGAUGGAAAAAUAUCCGCUGAGCGGACUUUACAAAUUUUUAUUCAAGAAGGAGGUAUUUUGCCAGUGAUCUGUGGUGUUCUCUCAGCACUGGUGAUUUUCUUAGUUGUGGGUGUAGCUGUCAUCUGUUUUGAGAGGAGAAAAAACAAAACAAAAAAAAGAGGAAGAUGACCAGGAAGUAAUGUACGCUGAUGUUAGGAUCAGGCAGCAGCAGGAGAAGCAAGUGAAGGGAAGAGAAGAGGAAGUGGAGUAUGGCCAAGUGAAGCUUUCACAGUGAUCUUAUCAGACUGAACCAACGUGAUGAUUGUACAGAAAGAUUGUUUGUGUCGCAAAAUCCUUAAAAUCAGGUGAUUUAGAUGGUCUGUGCAUUUAUACAGACUGCACCACUAAAUGCCCACAGAGGGAGGAAGUGAUGCUAAAUCCCUAAACAUC